AAGAAAAGAAACACUAGUGAGUCCUCACCAGCCAAAGUGUGAAACUUGCAAGGAUAUCAUCCGUCUAAGAGAAACAGGUACAUCUGAAUUUCUUGAACAAGGGGCAAACAUAUCAUAUUAAAUUUUAUUAUGCUGAAGAUUAAAAGUCAUUAAGGCACCAGUAAUCAACACAAAGCAAGCAUUCUCACACAUUUUUUAUCAGAGUAAAAAAUAAACUCAACACGUGCAUUUAUAUCAAAAUAUUAUUCUCAGGUGGAGGGGUUUCUAAACUGUUGCUACAAUUUAAUCCCUUCAGUUUUCUGCAUCUGAUGCAGAACAUUGAGUAGAGUCACGUCUUCCUACCAGAAUUUGGGCGGUGGCAGAGGCAAGGGAGUCAAGCAGAAUGCUACCAGCUGAGAACAAAAUACAAAUGGGGUCAAAGAUAAUACUAGAGUAACAGAAGACAUUGUCCUGAAUCAAAUUUGCAAUGUGUUUGGACUUUGGACAUGAAAUUCAGAAAGAAACAAAUUCGUAUUAAAAACUUUAUACUCAUAAUAUUUAUCUAACAGCAGGAAAAGAAAAAAUAGCCUUCGGAUUUUUCUUUUCCUUGAGUUGUUCUCCACAUCCCCACUUCCACCAAAAAGACCUUUACAACUUCAAGAAACAUAGCUGGGAGUAUAAACCUAAUGCCUCCUUGUCUAACUUUAAAUGUACUUGUGAGUCCUAAACUCAAAAAAAAAAAAAUAAGGAUUAAUUGUUAAACAAAAAAA